rnacentral:rRNA from 1 species
AUUGAACGCUGGCGGCAGGCUUAACACAUGCAAGUCGAGCGAGCGGCGGACGGGUGAGCAAUGUCUGGGAAUCUGCCUGAUGGAGGGGGAUAACAACUGGAAACGGUAGCUAAUACCGCAUACCAUCAGAUGGGCCCAGAUGGGAUUAGCUAGUGGGGUGGGUAAUGGACCACCUAGGCGACGAUCCCUAGCUGGUCUGAGAGGAUGGACAGGCCCACUGGAACUGAGACACGGUCCAGACUCCUACGGGAGGCAGCGGUGGGGAAUAUUGCACAAUGGGCGCAAGCCUGAUGCAGCCAUGCCGCGUGUGUGAAGAAGGCCUUCGGGUUGUAAAGCACUUUCAGCGGGGAGGCGUUACUCGCAGAAGAAGCACCGGCUAACUCCGUGCCAGCAGCCGCGGUAAUAC